rnacentral:tRNA from 2 species
CGCCGGCGCCGCGCGCGGCGGCGACGUCGGCGUCGCUGUCGCCGAUCAUGACCGAUCGGGCCGGGUCGCCGCCGGCGGCGGCGA